rnacentral:lncRNA from 1 species
AUUUAGAGUAAAAGGAGUUGCUAUUGGAGAUCAAGAUGACAAGAAAGUCUUCAUAUUUACAGUUUCAUCAGAUGGAAAUAUUAAAGCAUGGUGCUUGAAUAAAGAAAAUUACGAGGAUCAUUCUUUGCUGGCAAGUAUUGAUUUACCUGGAAGGCCCACAUGUAUAACUGUAAAGAAAUCCGUGUCUUUGAAGUUACAAAAUAAAGUUACUAACGAGAUAACAAAUGAAUCAAAUGAAACAUAUAAAAAACAGAAGUUAAAAUUAGAUCAGAAAAAUGUUAUUACUGAAAAUGAUGUAGAAGUUAAACAUAGUAAAAAAAAAACGAAAAAAGAAACUGGUAGCAACAAAAAAGAAACUGAUAUUCCAAAAAAGCGACUUAAAAAUAAAACAUGACAAGUA